UACGGAGGAUCCGAGCGUUAUCCGGAUUUAUUGGGUUUAAAGGGAGCGUAGGUGGAUUGUUAAGUCAGUUGUGAAAGUUUGCGGCUCAACCGUAAAAUUGCAGUUGAAACUGGCAGUCUUGAGUACAGUAGAGGUGGGCGGAAUUCGUGGUGUAGCGGUGAAAUGCUUAGAUAUCACGAAGAACUCCGAUUGCGUAGGCAGCUCACUGGACUGCAACUGACACUGAGGCUCGAAAGUGUGGGUAUCAAACAGG
rnacentral:rRNA from 1 species